rnacentral:rRNA from 1 species
UACGUAGGGCGCAAGCGUUGUCCGGAAUUAUUGGGCGUAAAGAGCUCGUAGGCGGUUUGUCGCGUCUGCUGUGAAAACCUAAGGCUCAACCUUGGGCUUGCAGUGGGUACGGGCAGACUAGAGUGCGGUAGGGGUGACUGGAAUUCCUGGUGUAGCGGUGGAAUGCGCAGAUAUCAGGAAGAACACCAAUGGCGAAAGCAGCUCUCUGGGACGGUACUGACGCUGAGACGCGAAAGCGUGGGGAGCGAACAGG